UAUGCUCCUAUUGAUGCAGGCCAAAAUCCCAUUGGCUUUUUUUGCCGCCACAUCACAUUGUUGGCUCAUGUUUAACUUGUUGUCCACGAGGACUCCAAGAUCUUUUUCACACAUACUGCUCUCGAGUCAGGCAUUGUCCCCCAUUCUGUAUCUUUGCAUUUCGUUUUUCCUGCCAAAGUGGAGUAUCUUGCAUUUGUCACUGUUGAACUUCAUUUUGUUAGUUUUGGCCAAUCAUCUCUCUAAUCGUUUUGAAUCCUGCUCCUGUCCUCUGGAGUAUUGGCUGUCCCUCCCAAUUUGGUGUCAUCUGCAAACUUGAUGAUCAUGCCUUCUAGCCUUUCAUCUAAGUAACCCUCACUACAUCUGAGGAUGCUUGCCAUAUGCAGGCGAAACGUCAGGAGGGAAUGCCUCUAGAACAUUGCCAUAUAGCCCGAAAAAACCUACAACAACCCAGUGAUUCCAGCCAUUUUUUUUUAUUUAUCGUGUCAGGAGCAACCAGACAUUCCAGCCAUGAAAGCCUUGGACAAUCUCUAGGUUGCUCAGCAAGACUCUAUGCAAAUUUUGUCCAUAGAGUGGCACCCAAGGACCUAAAAGUCUCCAUCUUUGGAGACUUUUAGAGGCUGGAUGGCCAAUUGACAGAGGUGUUUUGAUGGUGUUUUUCCUGGAUGGCCAUGUGAUUUCUUCAAAUUCUAUGCUUCUUUGACUUCUCUAGACAUUUUAGGUCCUCCAGAGUUGUUCUAUGGUCAGCUUGUGGCCAAAGUUAUUGACAGAAUGGCACUAGAGCAGGGAUCCUCAAACUACGGCCCGGGGGCCGAGUACGGCCCUUCGAGGUCAUUUGCCUGGCCCUCGCUCAGGGUCAACCUAAGUCUGAAAUGGCUUGAAAGCACAAAACAACAACAAUCCUAUCUCGUCAGCCAAAAGCAGGCCCACACUUCCCAUUGAAGUACUAAUAAGUUUAUAUUUGUGAAAAUUGUUCUUCAUUUUAAUUAUUGUAAUGUUUGUAAGUGUUUUUUGCACUAUAAAUAAGAUAUAUGUCGUAUGCAUAGGAAUUCAUUCAUGUUUUUUUCAAAUUAUAAUCCGGCCCUCCAACAGUUUGAGGACCCCUGCACUAGAGUAUCUAGGUAUUUUCUCUCAGGCAAAUAAUUGUUUUAUUAGGUAACUGGUGUAGGUUUUUUCGGGCUAUAUUCUAGAGGCAUUCUCUCCUGACGUUUCGCCUGCAUCUAUGGCAAGCAUCCUCAGAGGUAGUGAGGUCUUUUGGAACUAGGAAAAUGGGUUUAUAUAUCUGUGGAAUGACCAGGGUUGUCCCUGAUCACCUCUCAACAAAAGAUUGCCCCAGGCACUGCCAGGCCAUCAAAUGCUAAUCAAGGUGGUCAGUUAAAACAUUCACACCUAGCUCCAGCAGACAAGAGUUCUUUGUCCCACCCUGGUCAUUCCACAGAUAUAUAAACCCAUUUUCUUUUCUUUUUCUUUUUCUUUUUUCUUCUUUUUUUGUUAAAACUGUUUAUUUUGAUUAUGGUACAUAACAGAAAAGCAAAUCAUGACAGAUAUAAUCAGGUACCAAUAUUUUUGACAUGCCUAUCUACUUUAUUCAAUCAAUCAGUUAAUUUUGACAUUAAGUACGGUGGCGCAGUGGGUUAAAGCACUGAGCUGCUGAGCUUGUUGACCAAAAGGUCGCAGGUUCGAUUCCAGGGAGCGGCGUGAGCUUCCGUUGUCAGCCCUAGCUUCUGCCAACCUAGCAGUUCGAAAACAUGCAAAUGUGAGUAGAUCAAUAGGUACCACUCCGGCGGGAAGGUAACGGCGCUCCAUGCGGUCAUGCUGGCCACAUGACCUUGGAGGUGUCUAUGGACAACGCUGGCUCUUCGGCUUAGAAAUGGAGAUGAGCACCACACCCCAGAGUCAGACAUGACUGGACUUAAUGUCAGGGGACUACUUUUACCUUUACCUUUUUUACAAAUUAUUAUCAUUUACAUAUCUUAAUACACAUAGACUUGCUAUUUCUGCCUGUCUCACCCUGGUCAUUCCACAGAUAUAUAAACCCAUUUUCCUAAUUCCAAAAGACCUCACUACCUCUGAGGAUGCUUGCCAUAGAUGCAGGCGAAACGUCAGGAGAAAAUGCCUCUAGAACAUGGCCAUAUAGCCCGAAAAAACCUACAACAACCCAGUGAUCCCCGUCAUGAAAGCCUUCGACAAUAAAUUGUUUUAUUUGUGGGUUUUCCACGGUUGUGGGGGUGAUAUGCCCCUAAUCCCAGCUAAUGUGGAGGGCUGACUGUAUCUACUUUCAGAUUCUUUGGGUUUAUAUUUAACUAGAGACAAGUCGAUCACACCACUUCCAGAUGUGCUCCAAUAACAACAUCUGCUAUGUCCCAUUGUUUCGUCCACAUUAUGAGUGGGGUGACAUUUGGGAACAGGCCUUCUGUUCUGUGACUGUGUAGGCUUUUGAAGUACAGUAUGAGACAUAGGAAGGUGACCUGUGGGUACCAACUGGGAGUCCAUGGCAUAACCUUAAAAGAGAGCAUACCACUUGCUAGUAUCAAAGCAAAAUGUUGUUAAUAGUAUGUAUCUGAAAGACAAACUUGAUGAUGUAUUAGUCUAUUCUUUGCCCCUGGAAAUCAUGGAGGGUGUUUGGAGGUAGCAACAGCAUGAGGGGUGGGAGGAACAUCAAUAAAAGUGUUCAUCACCGCCACCAUAUUGUGUCCCUCCUUCCUUCCUCUUCCUUCCCUCCUUCCUUCCCCCCUCCCUCCCCUUUCUAUCUCCAACUCCCCCACCCACCCAUUGCACAAAACAAAUGGUAUGAUGUUAAGGCAUUUGCCCCUGCUAUAUUUAACCCAGCAGAAUUUUGCCUGUGGAAACACUAAUUUUUGAGGCUUUUUAAAAAAGUGUAAUUCUCCCCUUGAAUUGAGAUUUGUAUGUAUUAAAAUGUUCACUUCUAAA